CCUACGGGUGGCAGCAGUGAGGAAUAUUGGUCAAUGGACGAGAGUCUGAACCAGCCAAGUAGCGUGAAGGAUGACUGCCCUAUGGGUUGUAAACUUCUUUUAUAUGGGAAUAAAAUGUUCCACGUGUGGGAUUUUGUAUGUACCAUAUGAAUAAGGAUCGGCAAACUCCGUGCCAGCAGCCGCGGUAAUACGGAGGAUCCGAGCGUUAUCCGGAUUUAUUGGGGUUAAAGGGGGCGUAGGUGGAUUGUUAAGUCCGUUGGGAAAGUUUGCGGCUCAACCGUAAAAUUGCAGUUGAAACUGGCAGUCUUGAGUACAGUAGAGGUGGGCGGAAUGCGUGGUGUAGCGAUGAAAUGCUUAGAUAUCAUGAAGAACUCCGAUUGCGAAGGCAGCUCACUGGACUGCAACUGACACUGAGGCUCGAAAGUGUGGGUAUCAAACAGGAUUAGAUACCCCGGUAGUC
rnacentral:rRNA from 1 species